UUAAGAAAACUUUUAUAAGAAAAAACAAUAAGCUAAUUAAUUUAAUAUACUAAAAACCUAAAUAAAAAUAUCUUUGGUUGGGGCAACCACGAAGAAAAAAUAACCUUUGAAUACCAAAAAAAAUUUACAAAUUUAAAAAAUUUUUAAUAAAAAUAAAGAUCCAGAAAAUACUGAUCAAAGAAAAAAGUUACCGCAGGGAUAACAGCGUUAUUCUCUUUAAGAGUUCAUAUUGACAAGAGAGUUUGCGACCUCGAUGUUGGACCGGGACACCCAAGAGGUGCAACAGCCUCUAAAGGUAGGUCUGUUCGACCUUUAAAGCCCUACGCGAUCUGAGUUCAGACCGACGCAAGU
rnacentral:rRNA from 1 species